AAUUUGCUGCGGGCAAAUAAAAUGAAUGUGACUAUCAAACCCACCUGCGGUUAAAAUAUGCCCCUCACCUGCAAUGGCUUCGGUAGAGGGGCCGACAAUGAUAUUCACCCCAUCUUGUAUAUCUGGGUUACCCGCUUUACCAAUGGCGUGGAUGAUGCCGUCCUUCAAGCCGAUAUCGGCUUUGUAAAUCCCAGUAACAUCCACGAUUAAUGCAUUGGUUAUCACCGUAUCAACCGCACCGCCAUCACGCGGGGUUUGGGCUUGACCCAUACCAUCUCU
rnacentral:sRNA from 1 species